rnacentral:snRNA from 1 species
GUGUUCUCUUCAGCAGCACCUAUAUUAAAAUUGGAAUGAUACAGAGAAGAUUAGCGUGGCCCCUGCACAAGGAUGACAUACAAAUUUGUGACAGGUUCCAUAUUUUG